rnacentral:lncRNA from 10 species
GCUGGACUGAGCGAAUGCUGAGCUGACCAGCUUUUCUUUAGUGGCUCCCUAAGCGGAAGGUGCUCUGAAGCCAGCAGAAAGGAAGUGUCAUGCCUGGGAUAAUCCCCUCCCUUUUACUCCUCCGGUCAUGGGGCCAGAAAGUAAAUGACUUGUUUAAGGUCGCGGGUGGCUGAGAAGGACUAAUACUGCAGGUUUCUGACCUCCGAGGCGAGCUCUUGCCCAUGUUUGGGGCACCUUUCUGCGUGAGCUGAGGCAAGGUGCAGAGAGGAGCCUUGUCUACAGAGGCUGCCACUGUGCCAAUGGUGACCAGAGGCUGCACCUGCCCUGGAGAAUUCGCCAGAGCCAUCCACAAAGCAUCGCUCCUGUUUGCCAACACUGGAGAAGCCGCUUUUGUUCUGUAGAAGCUUUCUUUGGAUUGGGUUGUUUGUCUCUUUUGGAUAUAGCUUUGUAAAUAUCCUUAAACAUUUUCACUGUGUUGACUUCUCACUGCCCCACCUUGGCCAUAAAUUCCCCAGCACAGGGGCCAUGGGCUUCUGUUUCUUUGGACACACCCUGGGCUUUCAGUACUGCUGCCUGAAAAGAGGCUUUCCAUACCUAUGUGCCAUGUGGCCUCUGCUCUGCGCAUGGCGCUGAAGCUUGGUUUGGUGCUUUGGGGCGGUGGUGGGGGCUUCCAGGAUCCAGGCCCUGGAGUAGAGAGAGGGGAUGAGAAAGAGAGGAGAAAGGGAAAAGGUAAAUUUGACCCCUGA